UACGUAGGUGACAAGCGUUGUCCGGAUUUACUGGGCGUAAAGAGCGCGCAGGCGGUCGGAUAAGUCGAAUGUGAAAGCCCCCGGCUCAACUGGGGAGGGUCAUUCGAUACUGUUCGACUCGAAGGCGGGAGAGGGAAGUGGAAUUCCCGGUGUAGUGGUGAAAUGCGUAGAUAUCGGGAGGAACACCAGUGGCGAAGGCGACUUCCUGGCCUGUUCUUGACGCUGAGGCGCGAAAGCUAGGGGGGCAAACGGG
rnacentral:rRNA from 1 species